AUCUAACAACUAAUUUUAAUUUAUCUUCAUCAGAUAUGGCAUGAGAGAGGCUAUAGUGUUGAUUAUAUAAAUAUGUAGGUCUCAGCUGGGGCUGCACAGCCACGGAAAAUACUGCAUUCCUAACUUAUCUUGGGACUUAUUAUAAAGCUGCCAUUAUCCAAGGACAUAUGAUUCUCUGGAGGCUUACAUCACUGGAAAAAGUCUUUGGGCCCCUGAAGAUUACAGUACAUGUAAUGCUGCAAAAGGAGGAGGAUGCUGGGCCAGGCACAUACAACUCAAUUUACUUCUAUUGGCUGGAAAUAUUUAAAGCAUGACAGUGGCGUAGGUAAAUUACCAAAUAGUGGAUCUUAUGUUGGAUUGAUCAGCCCUGAUGAACUGACCUGACCGUUGUAAUUGAAACCAUAACUCAUGACCACUCUAUCUGUAUAGGUCCUGGUAUACCCUGGGAUGAUGUUCACCCACAACUUUUAACUUGAAAUCUUAAAGGAAGUUUUGCUAAACUAACAAGCAUGAAUGUCUGGUACAGUAAGAUAGGGUUAAUGGUCAACCUGACAUUAUGGUUCAUUCAUUGGGACAGCUAAUUUUUGUGUCUGACCAAGCAGUUCUCAAGUUAGGGCUUGAUGAAGUCUACAAACUGACCACUAUAUCUACUGGACAAAAAUGAUCAUAUUCUGACCCCCUCCCUCCCAACCAUUUUCUCUGCCUUAUCUUGAUGACUUUGAAGGGUACAAAUGCACUUGGAGCUUUUGAUGGUGUUCUGUUCAAUGCAACUAUUCCCACAUCUCCAGCAGCUGGCUUUGCAGCUAUUGGCGCAGACAGCUAUGGCUUGGAUGAUUUUGAUAAUUAUCUGCUUCCGCUCUUCAAAACUCAAACGCACGUUUGCCAUGUUGCAGUUAAUUCCUUGCCACUCUGGUACUGUGUGUGGUACAGAACCACCUUGACAUUUAUUUUUCUAAUUAGACAUUAAGCUUUCCAUGUGCUGAAAUUUAGCAAUGUAGAACAGGAAAUAAAUUGUCUGACAGUUCAAAGUGUGUAUACAUUUUUUUGACGCACCCUGUAAAUAUAUUGUAUUCAGUGAUUUUUUUAUUUUACCAUUUUCUAAUAUUAGUUUGUUAGCUUCAAUAACUAUUAACCUUUUAGAUUGUUAUCUUUCGUAAUGUUAAGACUAGAAAACAAGAAAUUAUAUUUAGGACGAUGAUUACAAUUACUUAGUCAAUUACUUAGAUAAAAUAAUUAUAAAACAAAAGUUAUAUAAAGACAUAAUUAUACAAUGUUUAUGUUUUGUAUGUUCAUAAAAAUGUGUAUAGCAGUGUUAUGGAGUGUGUGUGUGGGUGUUUCCAAGGUAACGUUGAGAAAUUAGCGGUUGGUUGGUGGAUAUGCAGUGAGGAUGGUGAAAUUACAAAAAUGGUCUAGUGUAAUGCAAAUCACCCAGGGAUCUGAAACUGUACAGACAUGUUUUUUGUAGUGAGUUAGAUUUUGUUUAAAAUACCAUUUUAUAUUAUUGCUACUAGAUUUAUUUCAUUUCAUCUAGGUUAGUAUUAGGGUUAGUGUUAUGUUGUAAUAAAAGUUAUAUUUAGUUUUGUUUCAAAAAAGAAGUUUUUUCAAGUUUCACAAUUAAAUAUAUAUAUAUAUAUCCAAGCAGUAGUUCUCACCAAACUUUCAUACACUGGCAGAACUACCUUAAAAAAAUGUUCUGCUGGAGGCUGGUGUGGGUAGUAUAGAAGAAAUGCUUAUCAUUCAACAUCUGUGAUGGGUUGGAAAAUUAUCCCACAUGGGGGGCGACUGCAUGCCAAAUAUAUCUUCAAGGAUGGCGUAACGGGGUGCUCCUGUAAGCACUAUAAAGAUUAACUCAGGCACCUUUUUGCCAUAGAGGAAAGUAGGUUGUAAUAGGGUUUAUGAAAACACUGCACUCAUCUUUUAUCUUCAGCAUCAUUAUUAUUAUUAAACCAUUACUCAAAUUUUGCUUUGUUAUUUUGCCAUGUAGCGAUUUACUGCUGCUGGGGUGAACAAUGCUUAAAAAAAUACAAAUAUGCUGUGUUUUUACUUUGGCCCAGCGGUGGCUCCCACAUUUGUCUUUUGUAUUUUUCUAUACCAGUUCUGUUACUAUGCAAAUGCAAUAAAAAAAAAAUACAAGUUGUUGCACUAUUGAUAUUUUUUAUACUAAUUUUUUAUUUAUAUUAUUAAUUAUUUAUUAUUAUCUAAGCAUCUGUUUGUAUUUGAGCUGGGUAAUGAAUAUAGAUUCUUAAAUUUAAUUGUUGUUUGUUGCUUUCCUCACUUUCAAACUGUGACCAUGUAAAUUUUGUCUAGAUGGAGAAUGGUAAUGUCUUAGUGUUAAUGAUUAGAUUGAGAAUGGUAAUGUCUUAGUGUCAUUGAUAACAGUGAGAAUGGUAAUGUCUUAGUGUCAUUGAUAAGAUUGAGAAUGGUAAUGUCGUAGUGCCAAUGAUAACAGUGAGAAUGGUAAUGUCUUAGUGUCAAUCAUUGCAUUGAGAAUGGUAAUGUCUAGUGUCACUGAUUAGAUUGAGAAUGGUAAUGUCUUAGUGUCAAUGAUAACAGUGAGAAUGGUAAUGUCUUAGUGUCACUGAUUAGAUUGAGAAUGGUAAUGUCUUAGUGUCAAUGAUAACAGUGAGAAUGGUAAUGUCUUAGUGUCAAUGAUAACAGUGAGAAUGGUAAUGUCUUAGUGUUAUUGAUUAGAUUGAGAAUGGUUAUGUCUUAGUGUCAAUGAUUACAUUGAGAAUAGUAAUGUCUUAGUGUCAAUGAUAACACUGAGACAAUCAUUAGAUUGAGGAUGGUAAUGUCUUAGUGUCAAUGAUUACAUUGAGAAUAGUAAUGUCUUAGUGUCAAUGAUAACACUGAGACAAUCAUUAGAUUGAGAAUAGUAAUGUCUUAGUGUCAAUGAUUACAUUGAGAAUAGUAAUGUCUUAGUGUCAAUGAUAACACUGAGACAAUCAUUAGAUUGAGGAUGGUAAUGUCUUAGUGUCAAUGGUGUAACAUUAUGAUUAGAGUGAGAUGCACGAGAUGAUUUCAGUUCACGUGAAAAUGGGUCUUACACAUUGUCAAGCAAAGAGGUACCAUUUUUGAUCACACAACCACGUUUUUUUAGUAAGUUAGCGCCAUGAUGUAUCAAGAGACGUAGGUGUCUCUGUUUUAUGAAAUUGGAUUAAAUAAUAUGAGUACCUAAGUGGACAUUUUUCUAUGGAUGUAGUUUGUAUUUGAUGAGAAAUAAUUCAGGAUGAUAUUGUAUGGCUGAGAUUGCCUACUUUCUGAACUAUUAUUUGAUGUAAUAAAUAUUUGUCUGACA